UACGUAGGGUGCGAGCGUUGUCCGGAAUUACUGGGCGUAAAGAGCUCGUAGGUGGUUUGUCGCGUUGUCCGUGAAAUUACCUGGCUUAACUGGGGGCGUGCGGGCGAUACGGGCAGACUGGAGUACUGCAGGGGAGACUGGAAUUCCUGGUGUAGCGGUGGAAUGCGCAGAUAUCAGGAGGAACACCGGUGGCGAAGGCGGGUCUCUGGGCAGUAACUGACGCUGAGGAGCGAAAGCGUGGGGAGCGAACAGG
rnacentral:rRNA from 1 species